AUGUGUGGCUCUAGUCCCAGCAUGCUGAAUGCCGUGAAAUUAGCACUGCACGACUGGCAGUGCUUUGGCCCUUGCCUCCUCACAUUCUUGAUAGCCUGGGCUGCCCUGUGUUGUUUGUUCAACUUCUCCAAAAAAUGCCAUCAGCAGGUCUCUGUCAGGAGCUGGCACAGGACAUAUUGCAUGAAUACACAGGAAUCAGGUGGUGAGGUGCACACAGGUGAGCUUGGUCUGCUCUCCCUGGAUGGCAGGCCUCUGGGCCAGUUCUUGUGUUACAGACCUGACUGUGCUCGCUGCAGCCAGGCCAUCUGGAAGAGGCUUUUGCAGCACCAUGCCAGAUGGGCCAGAAUGAAGGCAUCCCACCAUCCGCACUCCUCUUCAUCUUCAAACUCCAGAACCUCCUGCAGGGAAGAGAAUACAGCCAGCGCAUCCCAUUCCUCAGCCAGGAGGAAUCUGACCACCCAAAUUUACCUAUCCUCUGUUGAACUCUUGUGCCAGUCAGAGCUGAGAAAACAGAGGAAAAUCCAUCUUGAGCACACAGCGAGAUACCAAAAAUUGCUGACAAUGCAGGGGCCAGCUGACGCAAUCACCUUCAAUCUUGGACUUCUUAGCCAGGCCCACCAACUUGCUGAGACAGAUCCCGUGCAGCCAAUGAGAGAUGUUUGCCACUGGACUGCAUCACUCCCUACCAUGGUUUCCUCUGCUGAUCUGCCCGCUGGAGUGGAUUCUCAUUGUGUGUCAAGGCUAGAACAAGUACUGGACUUCUGGAAGCUCCUGAAGAUGCAUAUCCUGAGGAAGUCUGUAGAGACCAAGCUGAGAGCCUUCCCCACCAUUGUGCAGCAGUCACACAAGAUGUACACACACAGGACAUCAGUUUGCACAGCUAACACACCACACCACUCCAGCAUUGCCCCCAUCUACUUCUGUUCACUGGAGGCUCUGUUCCUGGAGGAAGAGGUGCAGGAGACCCUGGAGCUCCACAUCCGUGAAAAGAAACUGCACCACCAGUGGGUCUUGUCUGGGAGGCUGCCAGCAACACCUCAGGCAUAGCCAACAUCCACAUGACUACAGUGUGCUUCACUCCACAUCCAUUACUCUUCUUGGCAUCUGGGAAUGGGCACCACAUAAGAUAUCAGGUGGAAACCAACUCCUGCUGCCUGCACUGUGAAGGCAGAGGCCUCCCCAUUGAAAAUGUCCCCCUGAUUUUUCCUAUUCCCAUUAAAAAUAUUAAAGCCAUUCCUCUCAAAUCUGAGUAUUUAUUACAGGCCACCAGGCUAGGAUGAGAAAACUGUUGAGGUCUUCCACACAAAGCUGAAUUUAGCCUCACAAUUACCGGCAUUUGUUUUCAUAGCCACCACCUGAUAUUUAUUGGACAUGUUCCAGACACAUUCAGUCUAGGAGAUUCCUGCAAUUUGUUGAAGAUAACUUUCUGACACAGGUGGUAGAGAACCCAGCAAGGAAAGAUGUGCUGCUGGAUCUUUUUCUUCCGAACAACAAAGGACUGGGGAAGUCUGGGAUGCAGUGAUCUCAAGACAGUAGAGUUCAAGGUUUUGUGUGGAAGAAGCAAGGCAAUAAGUAGGACUGAAGCCCUGAACUCCAAGAAAGCCAACUUUGUCCUGUUCAAGAACCUAGUUAGUAGUUAGAAAGUUGGAAGAAAAGGUGACCUACGAGUGCUGAUCGACAUUUAAGAAUCACUUUUGCCAUGCUUAGAAUCUCUAAGGGUAAGAAGUUGAACAAAAAAUGUAGAAACAACAAGGGGCUCACUUAUAAACUCAAAGAGAAGAAGAAAUACCAUAAAAUGUGGAGAAAGGGCCCAGUCACUAGGGAAGAAAACUGGAAUAUUAUCAGGCUUGCAGGGAUGCAACCAGGAAGGCUAAGGCUCACUUAUAAUUAAAUCUCGCAAUUAAUUAAAUCUGAGUAGACUGGGGAAAAGCAGUGGGUGUUGUUUACCUUGACUUCAGCAAGGCAUCUGAUGCUCUUUCCCACAAUAUCCUUGUCAUGAAACUUAAGAGUGUGGGAUAGGUGUGCAGACAGUGAGGUGGAUUGAGAA
ensembl:lncRNA